AUUGAACGCUGGCGGCAGGCUUAACACAUGCAAGUCGAGCGGGGUAGGUUGCUUCGGUAACUGACCUAGCGGCGGACGGGUGAGUAAUGCUUAGGAAUCUGCCUAUUAGUGGGGGACAACAUUCCGAAAGGGAUGCUAAUACCGCAUACGCCCUACGGGGGAAAGCAGGGGAUCUUCGGAACUUGCGCUAAUAGAUGAGCCUAAGUCGGAUUAGCUAGUUGGUGGGGUAAAGGCCUACCAAGGCGACGAUCUGUAGCGGGUCUGAGAGGAUGAUCCGCCACACUGGGACUGAGACACGGCCCAGACUCCUACGGGAGGCAGCAGUGGGGAAUAUUGGACAAUGGGCGGAAGCCUGAUCCAGCCAUGCCGCGUGUGUGAAGAAGGCCUUUUGGUUGUAAAGCACUUUAAGCGAGGAGGAGGCUCUUAAGGUUAAUACCCUUGAUGAGUGGACGUUACUCGCAGAAUAAGCACCGGCUAACUCUGUGCCAGCCGCCGCGGUAAUAC
rnacentral:rRNA from 1 species